CCAUGCUCUCCUCAUGAUACUUCACUCACAUGCACGCUCCAUGGAUGACACCUCACUACCCCGUGCAUCUUCUUCUCGUGAUAACUCACCCCCAGUCAGCCACAUCACCCCUCACUUCCUAUUUCAACCAAUGCAUGCCUUGCACUAACCUAACUCUAGUUAACUCCCCUGCACAUAAACACGACAUUGCAUUCUUGGCUGAGCCCAGCAAACCUAAGGGUAGGAGACCCCAGAGCAAACGCAAGGGCCGCAAUUCCCAAGAAAAUAACCAAGAAGGAGAUGCACAUGCUCAUGUUGGCCAACGUAAGUGAGGGAAAAGGGGCGGUAAGAAAGACAAGUUGAAGACAAAGUGAUACAACUGUGGGAAUCUUGGUCACUUCGCUCGAGAAUGCUCUGAGCUGAAAAAGAAGCAACCCAACACAUAGCUCAGGAUCGAACGUGGUUCAUGGAGAAUCAGAAGUGCCUAGCUGGUAGCUAGAGAAUCUUUAUGUGAAAUAGUUUCUCUAGGAAUGUACUAGGAGUUUAGCCAUUCCAAAUUCACUUGUAGAUGGGACGCACUCUACUCCUCAAUGACGUAUUCCAUGCGCAUGGUGUUAGGUGCAAUUUUCUUUCUUUGCUUUCAAUAGUUAUACUUGAUUUUUCUUUUACUUUUCAUUCAUAUGUGGUGAAUAUCUUCUUAAACUCUUCUUAUUAUGGACGUAAUUAUGUUUAUGAUGAUUUA